CUUUUAGGGAUGAGGGAAUGCACGUAUUUUGUAGGCAGAGCCAUGCUUUUUUCCCUUUUCAGUGUUUUCUCACUAAUCUAAUUUCUUUUUGCCUCGUUCGCUGAAACUCAGAUCAAUGCUUGCUUAUGAUCUAUAGUAAAUUAUCCUAUACGAUCAGGAAAGGGAAAUUUGCGGGAGUUAGACGGCCUAGCUCCAAGCUCCCAAUUGACAUAGAUGGCACAAGAAUUAUUAUUGCAGAUGCAAUAGGCAGCAGUGGCCUUGACUUGAAGACUGACCCCAGAGUGCCAAUUGUUUAAGCUGGAUUUGGUGCUUUAAUGCUCACAACUUGCAUCAGCUAUCUAUCUCAUUCAAAGGGAUAAUUUCUGUGUAUUUGAUAGAGAUUGGCUAUGUUUGUUUCGAGGAUUGCAAUGAAUGCUUUAAUUUUGAUACAGGUUCUUCAAACUGUUAUAUGCUAUUUACAUUUUGACACCCGUUACAAUGAUGAUGAACUUUACGUCAAAUAACACUGUUCCCUGCAUCAUAAUUAAUCUAAUCUAAGAGUAUAAAGAUGUUAAUGCUAAAAUUUUCAUUUUUCAAUUCUAGUUUUGGUUCAAUAUAGCUUUGUUGAAAACAUGAUUCCAGUUUGUUCAUACUCAUCUGUUCAUAUUUUCUUCCGUAGGCAAUCAAAAGAUUUGGGCAAUACAACAGUUAUUGUAGUAUGAACAACGAACCGAGCAAAGGCUGAAUUUCCAGAAGAGAUGAAUCGCUUGCUUGAUCAGGUUCCAGAAAUAGUUGUAUCAUCUCAUUCCAAGGAACCUGACAGAAUUAGUGGCUAGCUUAUGAGGCAUUGGAAUGGAAAGAAAGUGCACUUGAAGUGAGGAUAUUGGAUCGCUAUUUUGAACUUUUGAGUCAAGGCCAAGAAGUUGCUCAAAUGCAACCUGAAUGUCUAGCAUAGGAAAUAAGAGAAGCACUCCAUCCCAAGUUGGUUCAAUUAAACUUUGGUUCAGCCAUUGAAGUUGUCCUUCUAAAGGUAUAGGUGCAGCCGUACAGGCAUUUUUCGGCCAGGGCAAGGUUCCAAGCCACAAGAAACUUGUGCCUGUCUUUAUCUGCCGAAAAAUGAAAAGAAGGGAAAAGGACAGGAGAAUGAAACAGUUUUAUUGCAUUCUCUGCAACGAAACUUAUGUAAAGCAGGACCUAUGUUUGUAAUACAGGGAAUUCAACACAAUAUGGAACUAUUUUUUAUGCAUAUAUAUAUAUAUAUAUAUAUGUAUGACAGACUAUUUUUUAAC